rnacentral:lncRNA from 1 species
UCAGCUCCAUGUAAUUCCAAAGGUAAUGGUUUCUCUUGGAAUUUUGCUUCUCUAAAGGGAUGAUAUGCACACCUUUGAUUUCCUAAUUAACAUUCUAUUCUCCAGAAUCUUCAUAGAAGAGUCAAAUCCCUUAAAGAGGAAGUAAUCAACUAUGUAUGAAUACGGUCAAGCCACAACUGAGCUCAGGAUUUGUUAAGUUUAUGCUUUAAGUGAGUCUUUAUGUUGCUGGUUUCGUUAGAGAAAUGUUUGCUCAAAAUAACUUGGCGAUUAACUUGCCCUCAUUCAUUUAAAGAAAGUCUGAAGCACGGGGCAUCCGCAAUCUACAGUAAAGCGUUUUCAUUUUUCAAUACAGUCUGGGACAGCACCUGCAACGCUGUUCUGAAAUGCAAACCAAGGUAUGCAUUCAAUGCAAUCAAGCAAAAUUUAAAUCAUAAACAAGAAUGAAUGAGCAUAAUUUAUUUUAUGUUAACCCUAACAGUUGUAUUUAUACAUUUGCUUCUGCAAAACUAUGGUAUUCGCGAGGUAGUAAAAUGAAGCAGAAGAAACACGUGUUAUUGUCAUAUAUAC